rnacentral:rRNA from 1 species
GACGAACGCUGGCGGCGUGCUUAACACAUGCAAGUCGAACGGAAAGGCCCUGCUUUUGUGGGGUGCUCGAGUGGCGAACGGGUGAGUAACACGUGAGUAACCUGCCCUUGACUUUGGGAUAACUUCAGGAAACUGGGGCUAAUACCGGAUAGGAGCUCCUGCUGCAUGGUGGGGGUUGGAAAGUUUCGGCGGUUGGGGAUGGACUCGCGGCUUAUCAGCUUGUUGGUGGGGUAGUGGCUUACCAAGGCUUUGACGGGUAGCCGGCCUGAGAGGGUGACCGGCCACAUUGGGACUGAGAUACGGCCCAGACUCCUACGGGAGGCAGCAGUGGGGAAUAUUGCACAAUGGGCGGAAGCCUGAUGCAGCAACGCCGCGUGCGGGAUGACGGCCUUCGGGUUGUAAACCGCUUUCGCCUGUGACGAAGCGUGAGUGACGGUAAUGGGUAAAGAAGCACCGGCUAACUACGUGCCAGCAGCCGCGGUGAUACGUAGGGUGCGAGCGUUGUCCGGAUUUAUUGGGCAUAAAGGGCUCGUAGGUGGUUGAUCGCGUCGGAAGUGUAAUCUUGGGGCUUAACCCUGAGCGUGCUUUCGAUACGGGUUGACUUGAGGAAGGUAGGGGAGAAUGGAAUUCCUGGUGGAGCGGUGGAAUGCGCAGAUAUCAGGAGGAACACCAGUGGCGAAGGCGGUUCUCUGGGCCUUUCCUGACGCUGAGGAGCGAAAGCGUGGGGAGCGAACAGGCUUAGAUACCCUGGUAGUCCACGCUGUAAACGGUGGGUACUAGGUGUGGGGUCCAUUCCACGGGUUCCGUGCCGUAGCUAACGCUUUAAGUACCCCGCCUGGGGAGUACGGCCGCAAGGCUAAAACUCAAAGGAAUUGACGGGGCCCCGCACAAGCGGCGGAGCAUGCGGAUUAAUUCGAUGCAACGCGUAGAACCUUACCUGGGUUUGACAUGGAUCGGGAGUGCUCAGAGAUGGGUGUGCCUCUUUUGGGGUCGGUUCACAGGUGGUGCAUGGCUGUCGUCAGCUCGUGUCGUGAGAUGUUGGGUUAGUCCCGCAACGAGCGCAACCCUUGUUCACUGUUGCCAGCACGUUAUGGUGGGGACUCAGUGGAGACCGCCGGGGUCAACUCGGAGGAGGGUGGGGAUGACGUCAAGUCAUCAUGCCCCUUAUGUCCAGGGCUUCACGCAUGCUACAAUGGCUGGUACAGAGAGUGGCGAGCCUGUGAGGGUGAGCGAAUCUCGGAAAGCCGGUCUCAGUUCGGAUUGGGGUCUGCAACUCGACCUCAUGAAGUCGGAGUCGCUAGUAAUCGCAGAUCAGCAACGCUGCGGUGAAUACGUUCCCGGGGCU